rnacentral:rRNA from 1 species
UACGGGGGGGCAAGCGUUGUUCGGAAUUACUGGGCGUAAAGGGCUCGUAGGUGGCCAACUAAGUCAGACGUGAAAUCCCUCGGCUUAACCGGGGAACUGCGUCUGAUACUGGAUGGCUUGAGUUUGGGAGAGGGAUGCGGAAUUCCAGGUGUAGCGGUGAAAUGCGUAGAUAUCUGGAGGAACACCGGUGGCGAAGGCGGCAUCCUGGACCAACACUGACACUGAGGAGCGAAAGCCAGGGGAGCAAACGGGG